UUUGCAGGGUCGAGUGGGCAGGACCCAGGGGCAGAAGUCCUACCCCCAUUUCUGACAGAUCCCAUUUUUGCCACUAGAGGGAAGGCAUGAAUCACACAGUUCCCAGAUCAGUAAUUAAAUGGAAUGUCAUAUGAUAGCUGCUCCAUCUCAAGAGAACACGGAGGAAACAAUUCAUCCAUCACUCUCCUGCUUUAAUCACAUGCUUGGUCAGCCAAUAAUGGAACAGCAGCGAUUGCAAUUACGAAGCCAACCGUAAUCCAAAAUGUUCUACUCUACUGGAUGGAUUCAGAUCUACAGUGGCAAGGGAGUUGCAAGGGAACAAAAUACAAAUCUAAAGCAACAAAGGGUUCUCUGUGCAUACAGUAGAAAGGUUAGAAGUUGGUCUGCUGUUACAUCAACAGAUGUGUGCACUCAUGGAAAAAGACACAAGGGUUCAAAGGAUUGUCUACUGCUAGAGUGAAUAGACUUGACACCACUGCUUAAGCAUGUACAGGCUGUCAUAACUGACUAAGAUCUAUGAUGUUGUGAUGUUGAUAACCUUCCACACAGGAUCGUUUUUAUUUGAACUAAUUCUCUUGCUCCGCUCGACACAACUUGAAAACAUGGUAAGCCUAAUCAUUACACUCCUUGUUAAGUACAAAUAAGAAAGAUGGAAUUCAUGGCUGUCUACUGGCAUGAAAAAUUCCAAGCAAACUGAAAUCAAUCUCAUGACUUAUCCUGAACACAUCUGUUAGUGUGACAUUUGAAAUUCAUUUCUGGGAUAUGGGCAACACUUAUUACCCAUCUCUAGUAGCCCUGACAGUAUUAAGAGUCAAUAAUACAGUAUGGACUGGAGUCACGUAUAGAUCAGACUGAUUUAGGGUGGUAGGUUCCAUAAUGAACCAUUCAAGUUUUUAUGAAAUCACUGCAGCUUUCAUGAUUGUUCUGUAAGGUGCUAACCCACAGAUUUUGUUUAUUUGUUUUUGAAUUCAUUUGAAUUUAAUUAUGCAACUCAUUAUAAACUUAAUUCAUAACCUCUUGGUUACUGCUUCAGUACCAUAGACAAUUCUCUCCCCCCUUCCUGCUACCAGACACAUCAGACAAACUGAUGUACAUCUGAACUGUAGGCAGAUAGUGCAUGACAGUACAUAGGUUAAGAGAGGUCAACAGGAAGUUGGACACAGAUGUGAUAGAUAAAAACACUAAAUUUGGAGGGAAAGGCAAAUUACAUUGUUCUCUUCUCACAUUUUUCUUUAAUGUGUUUUAAAGGAGAGGGCAAAAGCAGCAAUAUUUUGAAAAAUAAUUACUCAUGCCUAGAUAUUUUCUUCUAAAUUUUCAAAAAUUAAAAAAAAAUGAAGUCCUAACUUUUAAUGAGACCCACACAUGGUGUUGGAAAUAGUUCAUUUUUAUAGUUUGUUUUGGUCAUUUAUUUGUACAAUACUCAUUUAACCUUUAAUUACCAAACAUGAGUGGACUAAUGUUUCACUUUAAAGCCCACCCAUAAUAAUACUUAAUUGCUUGGAAUUAAUGGUUCUACAUAUGUUUUGGUGAAGUGGAUUACACAGUAUAACAGAGACAUUUAUAUUAAUCUAUAUUUCCUACCCAACAUAUUCAAAGCAAUGUGUAAACAUAUUCCAAAAUAGAUGAGACAAAUGUUAACUUGUUCUUACUCUACAGGUUUGUAUUAUAACUUACAUUUGACGCUAUCAGAGCAAUUUUAAUAAUAAUUUGAAAUAGCUUUCAGCCAAGAAUGAUUCAUCAAAAUAUUCAGAGCCAAGUCUAGCAAAGUAUAUGGUCCCUGUACCAAAUCAGAACAAGUUACAACUAUAAAAGCUUAUAAGGCUGCUGGUUCUCUUCUACUCUUCUGUAGAAUGUCCAGCAAAAACGUAAUAUUUUUUUUUUAUGGUGUUCAUUUCUUGUAGAUGUUGAAUUAAGGCAGCAUAUAUGAGAAAUUACAAAUAGCUGAAGUCACCAAUAAAAUAAGAGCUGAUUUGUACAUUUAAAUACAUUUGUUUCUAUCAAACGAACAUUUCUUCAUAUCUGGAUUACUAAAAUAUUUCCACUGUACUUCACAAGGUUCUUUGUUUACAAAAGUCUAUUAUCUCCAGCACACUGGAAUGUUGUCCAGUCAUGCACAUGUAAUGUUUUAUAACCACUGACCUGAUUUCUUCUGAGGGAAUGCCAGUCAUUCAUUAAACUACACAAUUAUUUAGAGCAUUAA